rnacentral:rRNA from 1 species
UACAGAGGGUGCGAGCGUUGUUCGGAAUUAUUGGGCGUAGAGCGCUUGUAGGCGGCUUGUUAAGUUCCGUGUGAAAUCCCCAGGCUUAACCUGGGAAGUGCGCGGAAAACUGGCGAGCUUGAAUGCCGGAGAGGGUCGUGGAAUUCCCAGUGUAGAGGUGAAAUUCGUAGAGAUCGGGAGGAAUACCUGUGGCGAAGGCGGCCUACUGGGCCGGACCUGACGCUGAGACGCGAAGGCGUGGGGAGCGAACGGG